rnacentral:rRNA from 1 species
AGAGUUUGAUCCUGGCUCAGGAUGAACGCUAGCUACAGGCUUAACACAUGCAAGUCGAGGGGAAACGACAUCGAAAGCUUGCUUUUGAUGGGCGUCGACCGGCGCACGGGUGAGUAACGCGUAUCCAACCUGCCCACCACUUGGGGAUAACCUUGCGAAAGUAAGACUAAUACCCAAUGACGUCUCUAGAAGACAUCUGAAAGAGAUUAAAGAUUUAUCGGUGAUGGAUGGGGAUGCGUCUGAUUAGCUUGUUGGCGGGGUAACGGCCCACCAAGGCUACGAUCAGUAGGGGUUCUGAGAGGAAGGUCCCCCACAUUGGAACUGAGACACGGUCCAAACUCCUACGGGAGGCAGCAGUGAGGAAUAUUGGUCAAUGGACGAGAGUCUGAACCAGCCAAGUAGCGUGCAGGAUGACGGCCCUAUGGGUUGUAAACUGCUUUUAUAAGGGAAUAAAGUGAGUCUCGUGAGACUUUUUGCAUGUACCUUAUGAAUAAGGACCGGCUAAUUCCGUGCCAGCAGCCGCGGUAAUACGGAAGGUCCGGGCGUUAUCCGGAUUUAUUGGGUUUAAAGGGAGCGUAGGCCGGAGAUUAAGCGUGUUGUGAAAUGUAGACGCUCAACGUCUGCACUGCAGCGCGAACUGGUUUUCUUGAGUACGCACAAAGUGGGCGGAAUUCGUGGUGUAGCGGUGAAAUGCUUAGAUAUCACGAAGAACUCCGAUUGCGAAGGCAGCUCACUGGAGCGCAACUGACGCUGAAGCUC